rnacentral:rRNA from 1 species
GCUGGCGGCGCGCUUAACACAUGCAAGUCGAACGAGAAAGCCCGCAAGGGUGAGUAAAGUGGCGUACGGGUGAGUAACACGUGGGUAAUCUACCUUUAGGUGUGGAAUAACCCUGGGAAACCGGGGCUAAUACCGCAUAUUCUCGCGAGAGGAAAGGCGAAAGUCGCCUGAAGAGGAGCCCGCGGCUGAUUAGCUAGUUGGUGAGGUAAUGGCUCACCAAGGCAAUGAUCGGUAGCCGGCCUGAGAGGGCACACGGCCACACUGGCACUGAAACACGGGCCAGACUCCUACGGGAGGCAGCAGUGGGGAAUCUUGCACAAUGGGGGAAACCCUGAUGCAGCGACGCCGCGUGAGCGAUGAAGCCCUUCGGGGUGUAAAGCUCUUUCGGCAGGAACGAUAAUGACGGUACCUGAAGAAGAAGCUGCGGCUAACUACGUGCCAGCACCCCGCGGUAAUACGUAGGCAGCAAGCGUUGUUCGGAGUUACUGGGCCGUAAAGAGUGCGUAGGCGGUGCUCUAAGUUUGGUGUGAAAUCUGCCGGCUCAACUGGGA